GUUGGGUAACACUAACUGGAGGACCGAACCGACUAAUGUUGAAAAAUUAGCGGAUGACCUGUGGCUGGGGGUGAAAGGCCAAUCAAACCGGGAGAUAGCUGGUUCUCCCCGAAAGCUAUUUAGGUAGCGCCUCGUGAAUUCAUCUCCGGGGGUAGAGCACUGUUUCGGCUAGGGGGCCAUCCCGGCUUACCAACCCGAUGCAAACUGCGAAUACCGGAGAAUGUUAUCACGGGAGACACACGGCGGGUGCUAACGUCCGUCGUGAAGAGGGAAACAACCCAGACCGCCAGCUAAGGUCCCAAAGUCAUGGUUAAGUGGGAAACGAUGUGGGAAGGCCCAGACAGCCAGGAUGUUGGCUUAGAAGCAGCCAUCAUUUAAAGAAAGCGUAAUAGCUCACUGGUCGAGUCGGCCUGCGCGGAAGAUGUAACGGGGCUAAACCAUGCACCGAAGCUGCGGCAGCGACACUGUGUGUUGUUGGGUAGGGGAGCGUUCUGUAAGCCUGUGAAGGUGUGUCGUGAGGCAUGCUGGAGGUAUCAGAAGUGCGAAUGCUGACAUAAGUAACGAUAAAGCGGGUGAAAAGCCCGCUCGCCGGAAGACCAAGGGUUCCUGUCCAACGUUAAUCGGGGCAGGGUGAGUCGACCCCUAAGGCGAGGCCGAAAGGCGUAGUCGAUGGGAAACGGGUUAAUAUUCCCGUACUUGGUGUUACUGCGAAGGGGGGACGGAGAAGGCUAUGUUGGCCGGG
rnacentral:rRNA from 1 species